GGGUCCUGGCUUUACCUUGCAGUUAGGGGAUAUCAUGGAUGCCUCANGGCUUCAUUGCCCGUUUGUAUACCAUUCUUCGCUUGACUUCGAUGGCUGCAUCUCACAGUCCCUCUUCUGCAUCNGGCUGAGUUUGGGCCUCUUCGGAUCCAGCUGCCACCACGCUGCACAGGAAUAAAAAAAAAGUCCCUCUGAGAACCGGCAGGAAUUGUGACUCGUGAUAUAUAAAUGCAGAUGGGUGACAUUCUCUCUACUCACCUGAAUGAGCUCCCGCAUCCCCUGGGCCAGCCACACUGGGACACACACAGAGCUCCCAGCAUGCUCUUUUGUGCUACUCAUAGUUGCCGAGAGAACAUCAGAGGCUGCCUCUGUUCCGGCCGGACUUUUCCCCAUCUCUGAACCCCAGAUUCUUCAGUUCUUCUAACUGAAGUCAAGAGUAACGCACACAGCCCAAGGCUUGUUAGAGAGAGCAUCACUCGCCACCCGUGUUCCAGGCAAAGUGUGUCCUCUUCAAGCCUGCGCGCUCAGCAGCUGCCACUGGACACAUAAACCAUCUCACUGAGCACACAUAAAUGCCAGCGUUGAGGCCCUAGCGGGUGAUGAGUCCUACCUAUUCCCAAGAUUUACAUCCAGGGUGUGAAAGUCAAUAAAAACUAAUUAGAUGUUUACCUC
rnacentral:lncRNA from 1 species